GGGAGGUAGUGACAAUAAAUAACAAUACGGGGUUCUUCGAAUCUCGUAAUUGGAAUGAGUACAAUUUAAAUCUCUUAACGAGGAACAAUUGGAGGGCAAGUCUGGUGCCAGCAGCCGCGGUAAUUCCAGCUCCAAUAGCGUAUAUUAAAGUUGUUGCAGUUAAAAAGCUCGUAGUUGAAUUUCGGGAUCAAUACGUCGGUCAUGCCUCUGGUAUGUACUGGUGUUAUUGGUUUCUCCUUUCUGAGGAGCCAUGAUGUCAUUAAUUUGGUGUCGUGGGGAAUCAGGACUGUUACUUUGAAAAAAUUAGAGUGUUUAAAGCAGGCACGCGCUUGAAUACAUUAGCAUGGAAUAAUGAAAUAGGACGUUCGAUUCUAUUUUGUUGGUUUCUAGGAUCAACGUAAUGAUUAAUAGGGAUAGUUGGG
rnacentral:rRNA from 1 species